CCCGCCGAACCGAGGGGGAUGUGGCGACACCGCUGGCAGCUGCGGGGCGGCUGGAGCCCAGCGAUUCAGUGCAAGCGGACUGGGUGUUUCUUCUCUUUUCUUAGGGGGAGUGAGGAACUCCGCGUCCCCCGCCCUCAUAUCUUAACCAAGAAGGACUUCUGCUCCGAAAGCACACGAGAUUUCUGCCUCUGGGCGGUGCGCGGAGCGGCGGCGGCCCGGCCCGGCUCCUCCCCGGGGCGGUGCGAGCCGAGCCCGCGGCGCUGCCUGCCUGCCUGCCUGCCUGCCUCCCUCCUUCCCUGCCUGCCUCUUUGCCUGCCUGCCUGCCUCCCUCCUUCCCUGCCUGCCUCCUUCCCUGCCUGCUUCCCUGCCUGCCUCGGCGCCGGGAUGUCGUCCAGCGGCAGCCUGGGCACCAUGCAGCGGCUGGUGGAGCAGCUGAAGCUGGAGGCGGCCGUGGAGAGGAUCAAGGUUUCUCAGGCAGCUGCAGAACUCCAGCAGUACUGCAUGCAAAAUGCCUGCAAAGACGCCUUGCUUGUUGGAGUCCCCGCAGGGAGUAAUCCCUUUCGAGAACCCAGAUCCUGUGCUCUGCUCU